rnacentral:misc_RNA from 1 species
GAUGAAGAACGUAGCGAAAUGCGAUACGUAAUGUGAAUUGCAGAAUUCAGUGAAUCAUCGAGUUUUUGAACGCACAUUGCGCCCUCUGGUAUUCCGGAGGGCAUGCCUGUCCGAGCGUCAUUGCUGCCCUCAAGCACGGCUUGUGUGUUGGGCUCCGUCCCCCGAUCCCGGGGGACGGGCCCGAAAGGCAGCGGCGGCACCGCGUCCGGUCCUCGAGCGUAUGGGGCUUUGUCACCCGCUCUGUAGGCCCGGCCGGCGCUUGCCGAUCAACCAAAUUUUUAUCCAGGUUGACCUCGGAUCAGGUAGGGAUACCCGCUGAACUUAAGCAUAUCAAUAAGCGGAGGA